AGGACUGGGCAUAUCAAGAAGACAAGAGACAACACAGACAUCAGUUCAAGACAUCUCAGUGGACAAAUGUCAUGUCAAAAGGGAUUUGCACAGUUCAUCCCUAUUGCAGUUUUGCAUUUAAACACCACAGUGUCAAACUGAUUACGUCGACAAGAGACACCCCACUCUUCACCUGUUUUGGGUACUGUAUGUUUGAUGACUGUCCUGUAUGUGUUGAGGUAAGCAAUGUUGACCUUCCAGGGAGACUGUGUCAGACACGAUCGUGAGGAGUUGAAAAGGAGGCCUGUCUGUGGGAAAGAAAGGGAAGUCAUUGCAAAAACAUUGACUUCAAAAAUCCCCCGUUCUCUGUACCUGGAAAACCUUAGUGAACUAGAUGAGACUGUGGAGGACUCUGGGUGCAGGGAUGAAGUACCAACAACGGGUGUCCUGAAAACAAUUUCUCGGGGUGCAAGGAAGAAACACCGCAGAGACAAGAAUGAAAUGAUUAGCCUCCAAAAGAUCAUUGAAGAUGAGCUGCAGGAAGGGGGGGUGUAAUCCAAAAGGUGAUCCAGUACCCAAAGGGAGUGAUGCUGUGGUCUCUGGAGACCAUUCAGCUUUUUGCUGGAAGGGCUAAGGAGGACAUAGUUUAUGUUGAUGCAACAGGGAGCAUCAUUAAAAAGGCAAAGGGUGAAAUAGUGGUCAGACAUCCUUUGAAAGGUGGGUCGCCAGUCCCAGUGGCCACAUUUGUCACAUGCGACCACACAACUUCAUCUGUGUCAUUUUUCCUGGGGUCAUUCAUGACAGACUGCAUCAGAUGCCAUGGAAGGCAUAUCAAGAAAAGGUGUGUGAUGUACAUAUGUGAUGGAUCUCUGGUCCUACCUAUACCUAUUCUACACCGAUGCCUCAGCCACAUCAUGAAAAAUGCAAAGGACCUUUGCCGGAAGCAUGCUUACAAACAGUACCACCUGGCUAUGCACGUCUUCGGGCUGAUGACACAAGCCACCACGCUCCAUGAGCUUGAUGACAUAGUCCGCAGCACUAAUGUGGUGUUCUCGAGCUCAUGCAGUGGACAGCAGGUUGAAAAACAUUUUCACAACCUGCAAAGACUUCUGACCCCCUGA
rnacentral:lncRNA from 1 species